CAGCAUUCACUGAGCCCCACCGGUCCUAGCCAGGCCGUCCUCAAAAAGGAGUCCCAGGAUCUCCUUAUGCAGCCCUGGCUGGCAUGAAAUUCAGUCUUACAAGCUGACCUCAAUCAGAGAUCUGUCUGCCUUUGCCUCCUCCUCCGCGCUGGGAUUAGAGGAUGUUAUCAACUCAAUGGUAACAGCAUUAUGCAUGCUCAUUGUGUCUGUGUUGGCUCUAAUACCAGAAACCUCAACAAAGACAAUCCUUGGAGGGCAAGGGCCACAUAGAACUGACCUUGUUCUGCCAUGACUGUCAGAACCCUGGACUUCAACUCAUGUCGGCACUAAGCAACUUCCUGGGAGACUAGGGAAGCUAUCUAGAUAGGAGGUAUGCUGAAAUACCAACCUCCCAAGUUGUUCUAAAGACAGUUCUGUCUGUCUACUCUUUUAAAAGAUGAGCCAGUCACAGGACUCCAAUUCAUGUGCCUUUCUGUUCUCCCACUUACUCAUUGCUUAAAUGAUGACAGCGUGGAGUCCUUCCCCAGCAGAGUGGCCCAUGGCUGUGUGGCUA